rnacentral:misc_RNA from 1 species
GUGGUGGUGGUGGUGGUGGUGGUAGAAUGGGAGGAGUGGUACUGGUGCAGAUAAUCCUCAGCCUUCUCUACAUACUUGCCAAAACUCUUCUCCUCGAGCUUGCCAUAGUGAGAGGCAGCUCCAAGAAGAUCAGCCGCAGCACCAGCAACCCUGCCCUUGUCUACCUUGUCAGUUUCGUGGCUAAGUGAGGCUUUGGCUGCCUCAGCCACCAACUUGGCACUGGAAAGAAGCUCAGAGGAAGAUGGUUGGUGGGGCUUGGUGGGUUUGUUGCUGUGAGAACCUGGUGACGAAUCCAUGGAUGUUGGGAUUGGGUAGAUUGUAGAAGAUUAAAUUAGGCAAUAGCUAAAUCAAGAAGAAAAAGCGAUAAAAAAGAGGACAAAUAUUUGCGGAUUUGAUUGGUUUUGAAAAUGGACCAUUUAUU